UACGAAGGGGGCUAGCGUUGCUCGGAAUGACUGGGCGUAAAGGGCGCGUAGGCGGAUGGCACAGUCAGAUGUGAAAUUCCCGGGCUUAACCUGGGGGCUGACAUUUGAUACGUGUUGUCUAGAGUGAGGAAGAGGGUUGGUGGAAUUCCCAGUGUAGGAGGUGAAAUUCGUAGAUAGUUGGGAAAGAACACCGGUGGCGAAGGCGGCAACCUGGUCCUUGGACUGGACGC
rnacentral:rRNA from 1 species